AUCCUCCAGUAGUCAUAUGCUUGUCUCAAAGAUUAAGCCAUGCAUGUCUCAGUACAAGCCGCAUUAAGGUGAAACCGCGAAUGGCUCAUUAAAUCAGUUAUGGUUCCUUAGAUCGUACCCACGUUACUUGGAUAACUGUGGUAAUUCUAGAGCUAAUACAUGCAAACAGAGUCCCGACCAGAGAUGGAAGGGACGCUUUUAUUAGAUCAAAACCAAUCGGUCGGCUCGUCCGGUCCGUUUGCCUUGGUGACUCUGAAUAACUUUGGGCUGAUCGCACGGUCUCCGUACCGGCGACGCAUCUUUCAAAUGUCUGCCUUAUCAACUGUCGAUGGUAGGUUCUGCGCCUACCAUGGUUGUAACGGGUAACGGGGAAUCAGGGUUCGAUUCCGGAGAGGGAGCCUGAGAAACGGCUACCACAUCCAAGGAAGGCAGCAGGCGCGCAAAUUACCCACUCCCGGCACGGGGAGGUAGUGACGAAAAAUAACGAUACGGGACUCAUCCGAGGCCCCGUAAUCGGAAUGAGUACACUUUAAAUCCUUUAACGAGUAUCUAUUGGAGGGCAAGUCUGGUGCCAGCAGC
rnacentral:rRNA from 1 species